rnacentral:lncRNA from 1 species
CCCUGAUCUUAACUGACUUCUUACUAGACAAUACUGGAAAAGACCUCCGUUCUAUUUAUUUUCGUUUUUCUGUCCUGGAACUUGCUCUGUAGACCAGGCUAGCCUCAAACCCAGUGAUUGGCCUGCCUCCGACUCCCAAUCGCUGGAAUUAAAGGUGUGCAUGCACCGCCUAGCAUGGCUUUAGAGAAGUCUUUCUAACCUCAGGAAAGGAUGAGGUGCCUUAGUCUGGCGGUUGGUUGGGCCUUCAAACUCCUGUUUGUGGAGUCGAGUGAUCUCUAAGGAAAUCAUUUUACCUAGGAGGCGACCUGCAUACUCCUGUAGGCCAUUCCUCCAUCUGAGCUGCGGUGGCCCUGAGUUGAGCGUCUCCUAAACCAGCCUUUCCUCAGUAGCUUCUCCCUCUCCUGAGCCUUCGCCUCAGCCCGUGAUGGCGACGCCUGCCCCUAAUGAGAGCUGUGCGGGUUGCUCCUCACCUGCCUGUGGUUCAAGAGAUCAGACUCUCUGGAAAGACAUUUUGGAGAAGAGCUCCAGGGAGACGCUUGGGGAAACACUGCAGUGCAGGUGGGAUGAGGCAGCCUUUGUCGGUGAGCGAGAGGAAGGGAGGGUGGACUUGCAGCCCACAGCCGACACGGGAGGGUGUGCGGCGCAGUGUAGCGCUUCAAGUGACAAAAUUAAUUGGUCCGGUCUGUUGUAAACAAAACAGCCUGCGGGAUGGUUCUGUGAGCGUCAGCUGCCUUCUCCUGUUUUUAUGGC